AUUGAACGCUGGCGGCAGGCCUAACACAUGCAAGUCGAACGAGUGGCGGCCGGGUGAGUAAUGUCUGGGAAACUGCCCGAUGGAGGGGGAUAACUACUGGAAACGGUAGCUAAUACAGCAUACCAUCGGAUGUGCCCAGAUGGGAUUAGCUAGUAGGUGGGGUAACGGCUCACCUAGGCGACGCUCCCUAGCUGGGCUGAGAGGAUGACAAGCCACGCUGUGACUGAGACACGGUCCAGACUCCUACGGGAGACAGCAGUGGGUAAUAUUGCACAAUGGGCGCAAGCCUGAUGCAUCAAUGCCGCGUGGAUGAAGAAGGCCUUCGGUUUGUAAAGUACUUUCAGCGAGGAGGCGUUACUCGCAGAAGAAGCAGCGGCUAACUCCGUGCCAGCAGCCGCGGUAAUAC
rnacentral:rRNA from 1 species